UACGUAGGGGGCUAGCGUUGUCCGGAAUCAUUGGGCGUAAAGAGCGUGUAGGCGGUCCGGUAAGUCCGCUGUGAAAGUCGGGGGCUCAACCCUCGAAUGCCGGUGGAUACUGUCGGGCUAGAGUGCGGAAGAGGCGAGUGGAAUUCCUGGUGUAGCGGUGAAAUGCGCAGAUAUCGUAAGGAAGACCAGUGGCGAAGGCGGGUCUCUGGACAGUUCCUGACGCUGAGGCACGAAGGUCAGGGGAGCAAACGGG
rnacentral:rRNA from 1 species